GUUCUCUUGUAGUCAGGAGAGAAGAAACAAAGCGGCAGACGUCCUCUCCUCUUCUUCGGCUGAGUCCACCCAAUUCCUUGAAUUUCCACUCCAUAAUUGCCAUUCUUGUCUGCUUAUUGUACUUGGAAAGGAUGCAAAGAAGCGAAUUUGCUGUUGAUUAGGCAGUCCCUGUUACCCUAAAAAUCAGGGAUGUUUUGCCCAAAAAAGUGCUCCAUUCUUUGAUUCACCUCGCUCAUUGGGUUGCACUAUUUCCUUCAAUCACAAAGCCCUGUUUAGAUGAGAUGUUUGCUUUUGUCCCUAAAAUCUGGAAAGUCUUUGACUUAUUUUUCUACCUUUAGAUGUAUUUCAAUUGUACCGUCCUAAUUUUAUCACCGUCUGAUUGAAGCAAAAGUUUUCCAGAUUUUCAGACGGGAGUUGUUAGGAUUUUGGUACUGAAAUUCAGUGAAUAUUUUGACCUUUUUAGUAAAAAAAAAAGACGAGAAAUAGCCCAUUACCUUUCAUUCUCCCUCUUUAUUUGUCACGUAUAUACGCAAGAAAAAGGAGACACUGAGAGGCCAAGAAGCAGAAAACAAGGAAUUGUUUCUAUUUUUCUCUACCGAGUGGUAUGAACCUUUUUUCUACUUUUCCUUUGGUUUUUUCCUCUUUAGUCUUGAAGUCAGAGGUAUUUUAAUGCUGAUGUUCUGUAUUGUUGUUUUUAGCUAUUAUGUAGGAAAAUGAUAAUCAAUAGUUAUAAGCAAAGUUAACAAUUACUCCAUUCGGGUAUGUUACAGACUGAUCUAAUGCUUUUUAAUGGUUCGAUUAUUGGCUUCUGAGAGUGCUCUUAUGGUUGGUUUUGCCUGGUUUUCUUUUGGAUGAUGGUAUGAUGCUUUGCGGCUAUGUGAUAUAGUUUUUUUCUAGAUAAUGCUUAGUUUGGAUUGUGGAAUAUUAUAAAGGGCUACUUUCCUGAGUAUAUUGUUGUGUUUUCUUCACUUUGUGUAGUUGGAUCCUAGAAUAUAUACAUAAUGAGCAGCCCUUUAAAUAUAAUGCAAUUAGCAAGGUUGGAAUUUUGCUACUGGACAUUCAACUUUUUCUUUUGAGAAUUUUUGAACUAUAAUAAAAUGGGACCUACUACCUAGAUAACAAUUAUGGAUUUGUGGGUUCUUUGCUAUGUACAUUUGAUUUAGAAAAUGAACUCUAUGCGAAUCCUGUUUGUUUGAUCUAGUUUGGUGUAAAGAAGUUAACCAGAUCUUUCUACAGUCCAUGUUUUUGUCAAUAAAAGAUGAAAUUAUUAAAAAAGAAAAUGGAAUCUUGACUAGAAAAGUGUAUUUUAAAAAAAAAAAAUUAAAAAGAAAAAGAAACAAGAAUGGCGUAGCACCAUUCUGUAAAAACAGCAUGAUCAUCAUAAAUCUUUAGGAAAGGCAUGAGAUGCACCUUUUUUAUGGAAUGAUGGAAACUGCAAGUCUGUUUUCAAAGCUUGAGUUUAAAUUACUCUUUUCAGAUUAUGCGUAUAGUUAAUUAGUUUUGUUCAGCUUAAGUUCAAUAGCUUGUAAAUUUGCAGCUUUGGGUUUCCUUUCUUUUGGUGUUAAGAGCUUUGACUAGUUAAUCUAGUGGAAUAUGUUAGUUCAAAGUUUAAUUGUUUUGGUAUUCACCUUAUUCAUUCUUUUUAGCCGAUUGAUUCUAUUAUAUCAUUUCCUGUUUUAGGUUGGUUGAAGUUGCCAUGCUAUUGCAGAUUUCAAUACAGGGCAAGAAGAGAUUUAAAUGUUAUCUUAUUUCAGCAAUUUUAGCAAUUCUAAACAUGGAUGUUAUAUGGAUUGGUAUUGACAGCGUUUGCGUAACAAUGAAUGAAGUCCAUAAUUUUGGCACAAGUUCAUUUCCUUCAGUUUUUUAGCAGCCAGCUUGAUUGAGAAUGAAUUUUUUCCCUGAAGCAAAUGUUAUAGAAUGUGAGGAAUUAAAUGAUAGGCUCGUACGAUUUUUACAAAAUUAUUAAUGGUGAUAAUGGCUUGGCCAGUUGUCAGAAAAAAGGUCUCAAGAAAACCUUUUAUGCGAUGAACAUAUUGUCUGAUGGUUGCACCGACACGAGAAAGUUUGGUCAUAAAAUUCUUUUCUGACAAUGCGCCCAUCACAACUAAAAUUCUUCCCUGUCACAAGUAAAGUUUUGUCACGAGAACUUUUUUGGACUGCUAAAAUUCUUUUCUGACAGUGUGCCUCGCAUCACUAGAGUUUGGUGACGAAGCGUGGUUUUUGUCACAAAAUACUUUUUGCAACAGGCUAUUGGGACGGAGCUUUGGUUAUGAACUCUCCAUCAGGCAAAGUUUUCAUGACGAAAAAUGGACUUUUUGUGACAACCAGAGCUCAUCACAAAAAGCCCCCAUUUUUGUAGUUGCGUCUCAUGAUUGAAUUUUUCUUAAAAAGUUGGGCCUAAUCAGACAAACUAGAUGGAAUUCAGGGAAACUUGGUCUAAUGGGUAUCGUCAUUUUAGUUUUAAUAAUUGUCCUUCUACACUCUGUUGCUUCUAAUAUCCAAUUUGUUUUCUUGGUUUCUGGUUUCUUGGUUUUAAAUUUGCAUAUGAAUGCAAAAGAUUAGUGAUGUGCAAAUAUACAGACAAAAUUGAGAUUCAUGGACAUAGUUUCUUGAGAGACUCAUCCUAUUUUGUGCUGUUUAAUGAUUGUAAUAUCCUCUAGAUUUGUUAGUUUUUUUUCUAGUGGUCACUGCUGCAGUGGUACUUGUACUCAAGUCAGAUUUUAUCAAUUAUGUGUAUUACUCCUGAUUGCUUGCUUCAUUACGUCAUGGUUUGGGAGUGACUCUGUUGCAUAUUCAACAGUUAUCUUGCAUUGGUUUCUUCAUGUCCGAUGGAGUUUUGCCAUUUUUUUGACAUCAUUCUAGAGCUGUUAACUGGUACUACCAUCAAAAUAUGCAAAUAUGUCUGCUAUAAUACCCUGCAAAGAUGCUUCUUGUUUGAGCCUGAUCAAUUAGUUGUGUUAUAAGCGGAUGAAAUAAUCGGAUCUUUGUGGUCAUAGUUUUGAGUGGCUCUAUUCUAAAUUUGCUGUUUAAUUGAUAGGACUAAAUUCUGACUUGGUGCUUUCUUGGUAAUUAUUGUUGCAUUUAAGUGGACUAUGUCAAAUUGCUCGCUUCCCUUGGUGUAAUUGGAGUAUUUUGGGAGACAGGCUACUUAGGGGUGACUUCUUUUCAGCUUCUUUCUGUCUCAUGGAAUAUGGCCCAUUCGCCCCUAUAAUUACAGAAUUAGUGUAUUUUCUCUAAAAUGCUUAUCUCUUUCUUUUGUGAUAUGAACAGUUGGUAGUGAAUUAACUUGAAAGCUGUUGGAUUACUGUACUUUAUUAGAAAAUUUUUAAUUCUGUGCAAUCAUUGAGCAAGUUUCCUUAUUUUGGCUAACAAAUGUCAAAUUAUUUUGAUCAGAAUCAUGGAUAUUAUCGUAAACAAUGGGCUAAUGUCAUUUGUACAUGCGUGCACGUGUGUAGUAGUACACGUUUAUGCUGAAGCUACUGGUUGAGGAUUUACUUAUUUAUUCCAUUAGAUUUUAUUGAACUUUGCAAAUCAAAUGGCUUUUGAAACGUAUAGUUUGUGCCUCUGUACGUGUCCUUAUAUUCAACUCCCUCAUCUCCUUAUUCUGUCUUCUCAUUCUUCUUUCCCUACUCUCUCUCCUUUUUUCUUGUGCUCAACUUCUUCCUUCCUUUAUGAUAUAAAAGCCCUAUCUAAAUCCAUUACUGUGCUCAAAAGUCAUCAUUAGCCAAUUCCAUGAGUUUCUGUCUUGUUGAAAUUUGAAAAUAGCUUUCAAACACUUUUGGAUGUUUCAUCUUCAUUGCACACUUUUUUGAGUUUCCUGGAGGAAUGCUUAUGUUAAUAAUUGAAGUAUAAAUUCAUCUUUGGACUCACAUUGAGAUCAAAGUUGAACUAUACUUUUAAAGAAAUGUAAAGAUGAUUUUGGUUGAACACGGCAAACUGAACUACUGAAAUUUGGUUGCAAAAUUUGAAAAAAGAAAUGUCCGAAUACUCUAUCCUUAGCUCUCAUAUUCAAGUUCUUUUUGCUGUAUGACUACAUACGAAAUUAGCAACUCCGCCUCUAGUCAAUCAUCUUAGGAGCUGACUUAAUAGAAACCAAUGUGAUGAUGGCCAUGUUUUUGCUACCCAUAUACAGUUUAUACCUUGUCAAACUCCUUGGGCCUAUGAAUUAUGUUCAUUCUGUAAACCUCUUGAUGAUCGUCCCCACCUAGAAAAUAAAAACUUGAAACAUGAAAGUUCUGUUUUUCAUGUUUCACAGAGUACUAAGAUGUUUUUGCUACUAAAUUAAGUUUUAGUAGCUCUGUAGCUGAAUUUAUCGAUGUUCCCGAUCUCAAUUGCCACAAAAUAGGAUGAUGUUUGGCCUUUGAUUCCCUACUUAAACACAGUGGCCUUUGUUGUCCCCUUUGAGCCUUUAGACUUGAUAAUUCAUUUCACGUUAAAACCCCUGCUGAUCACACCCCACACUGGGGUUAAUUUUUUGAGAGUUAUUUCAUGGAAGUUAGAGUACUUUAAUUGUGAUUUUUUAUGAAAUCAAGGAUUACAAGAAUGUUGAGUUCCAAUGCUCGAGUUUCAGAUGUUUACUUCUCAAAAAAGAAAAACAAAAGAAAGUAGGAAAACGAAAGGAAAGAAAGAAGGAAAGCAAGGAGGAUUGAGAGAAGCUCAAAUAUCAAUAGUUUAGUUCCCAAAAAGGACAAAAAAAUAGAGAGAGAUUGAGAAGAGGCUCACUAUGCAGAAGUGGUCACAGGUUCUAAUCCUUAAAAAAAAAAAAUGAUUUUUUAUCUUUUGGGCCUUUACUAUCUUAUUCUUUGCUUAAACCUACUCCAAGCCUACAUUACGAGCUAAUAAAGGUCCAAAUGCUGACCAAUUUUGUGGCAGUUAUGACGAGGAACAAUAUUCUUUCACCACUGACGCAGCUAAGAGAAUUUGGUCACAGCUGUUUUAAGGUGAUCUCAAGAUGAUUUAACCUGAAAAAUCAAUACUUUGAGCUUUAAUAUCCCUUCUUUUUCAGCCCUUUACCUUACAACCAGAACAAAAAUCCAUCUGAUUGGUUUCUUUAAUGUGCUCAUAAGAUGAUUGUGAGCUGAAAAUGGAAACUUGUAGCAUUGAUAUCCCAUCUUUUUCAGCACUAUGGCCGAGGCCCUCUUACAAUCAGAGUGAAAUUCCAUGUGAUUGGUUUCUUUAUGGCCAGUCAAUUUGAGAAGAUGUUCCUUUUCUAAACACCAGCCUAAGCCUCGACAGAGUAGAAAGCGUCAUAAUAGUUUGUCAUAUUCCAUUAAGAUCAUCUCUAUCUUAUUUACGUGGUUCACAUACUUUUAAUUAUUAAUCAAAGCAUUCAUCCUAGAAUUUCUAAGCACACAGGAAGUGAUAUUGUGUUCUCCGAGUCAUCUACCAAAGAAUUAUUGCGCAGACCCUUGCCUAUUUUUUAUUUUUCCUUUUACAACAACAUUGUGUAUCAAGAGAAAUAAACUUGAGAACCCCUUCCUAGAUGCAAAUGGUGUUUGUUACCUAUUUGGAAGGGACUGAGAAAUGGAAUACGACUGUUCACAACUUCUUUCAUUGCUAGCUCUUUGUUCUUCAAUUUUUUACAUGGGAAAUACCAAAUAAAAUAAAAUAAAAUAAAAUUUUGGGUGCUUAAAAAUGGUUUCAUGGUUUUUGGAAUAUUCUUGUUAGUUCUUUGGUAUAAGGGAGGGAAAGGGGUUUAGCAUAAGUGGAAGGAGCUGGCCAUAUGUUUUAUAGUAAAAAAGGCAAGAGAAUGGAUGUGGAGGACCAUCCUGGGGCUGUGUUCAAUUUGGUUGCAUGUAUAAAUAUACAUUCAGUUUUUCUUUUAUUUUUGGUAGAUGAUCUACUUAUUUGUCAAGUCCUUUUUAGUUUGGAAUUUUGUUAUACCCUAAUUUAUGUUUUCUUUGUUUUUUCUUGUUUCCAUUAUGUUGGUUUGAUUGAGGACAUGUAAAGUGCAACCUAAUGCUUUGGCUUGUAAUAUUAUUUAAUUAAGCCAAACUCUUCUGUUUUUUAUGUGCAUAUGAGUUGGUGGCUUGGAGUGUCCACCUAGCCAGAAGGAAAGGCAAAUAUAGUGAUUGCAAGGCUGAACUUGUGAAGAUAGUCAGUCCAUAUAUGCAUGCAAAAUGAUGAAACGGUUGCUAAACCCGUGAAAGGAUUGAUUCUUGGUCCACUUGCAACCUUUAUAUUUUGGUUGCUGAACCAUGAACAGAAAGGAUUGCAGGAGGUUCUUAAAGUAGAUUUGCUGCUGUGGCAUGUGCAGGACUACUAUGGGAUGCUGCUUUUAGUGUUGAUGGAUGAGUCUGCAGGCGUUCGGCGGGAGUCAUCACCUCCUCUCUACCCACUCCAACCUGCUUCCUUGGCCAGUCCACUCCGAAAUGACUGUGUGUUCAGGAGCCGUACAUUUCCUCCACGCCUUCUUUCUGUUCCUUCCUUCCCGAGGAUUAGGUGGUUGUGAUGAUGAAACUUGUUGCUUGUCCCCGUUACAUUGCAAGGGAUCAAUGAUAAAGGAGGCAUCUUUUUCAGGUUUAGAAGAGAUUUUUGCAGUUUUUUGGGACAAAAAUAGCUUCGAUCAGCAGGAAAAUUGCCUCAAAUUCGCUGGCCUUUUGAUUCUUGCGAGGAGCCUUCUUUGAAGCUAAUCCUUUGUCGUUUGUUGGGACAAGAUUUCUGUUGCAGUUCAGAUGUUUGUUUAUUUAUCUUCUUAUUGGGAUAGUUGUACCUUUGUAAACCACCACUGCCGUCUAUAUUAUUUGUCCUUUAAUUUUUGUUUCUUUUUCCGAACCACACUAUUUGUCUUUUGGCUGAUGGGCUCGAGACCAGAAAAGGUUCCAUCUUUCUCUUCCUCUUUCUCUCUUCUCUUUUUAUUUCUUCCUCUCUUUUUCCCCUCUUUGCUUUUCUUCCAUCGGGACAAGCCAACAACAGUCCAACCGUCGAAUGUCCACCUGUUUGAGUUCAAUUUUUUUUCCAUAUAUCAUGUCUAUCUGUUCGAUUUAUAUUACAGCAAGAGAAAUGGGACAAAAAAAAACGUAAGCCAUGAAAAAAAGAAGCAGAAAGGGAGAAAAUGGAGGUUCAUCAGAACAUAGAAAGAAGAUGAGAAGAAGAAUAAGUAGAUGAAGAAAAAAGUAUGGCUCUUCAGCCUCAUCGGUUCUGAUCACUGCUAUGGCUUUGGUUUGGCCAUCUGGGGAAAAAUCUGGGACUUCUAGAAGAAAAUCUUUUUUUUUAUUGAUAAGAGAAAAAAAUGUAUAUCGUGCUCAUUGUGCUUUCUGUGUAAAUCUUCCCAAUAAUAGGAAUGUUCCUUCCAAUAAAUUCAAAACCAAGUUUGAAUGAUGUUACAAGCUUGACCAUUGUGAGAGGAGUCCAGGGUUCUCUGACAUUAUUUUAUGCUAUGUCUUUAUAACAAAGGUAGCCAGCAUUGAAUUGGGGGUUGAGUUAAUUGAGGCCUCUCUGCAUGCUGGCUUGUUAUUUCCUAAUGAUC